rnacentral:rRNA from 1 species
CCCCUAGAUGUUCUGGGCCGCACGCGCGCUACACUGAACAGUUCAACAAGUCUUAACCUUGGCCGAUAGGUCUGGGUAAUCUUUGAACGCUGUUCGUGAUUGGGAUAGACCUUUGCAAUUAUGGGUCUUCAACGAGGAAUUCCUAGUAAACGCAAGUCAUCAGCUUGCAUUGAUUACGUCCCUGCCCUUUGUACACACCGCCCGUCGCACCUACCGAUUGAAUGGUCCGGUGAAAUCUCGGGACGGCGGCUUGGUCGCUUGCGUCCGACUGCUGAAACUUGAUUAAACCAUAUCAGUUAGAGGAAGGUGAAGUCGUAACA